CCUACGGGGGGCUGCAGUGGGGGAUAUUGCACAAUGGAGGAAACUCUGAUGCAGCAACGCCGCGUGAGGGAAGAAGGUCUUCGGAUUGUAAACCUCUGUCCUCAGGGACGAUAAUGACGGUACCUGAGGAGGAAGCUCCGGCUAACUACGUGCCAGCAGCCGCGGUAAUACGUAGGGAGCAAGCGUUGUCCGGAUUUACUGGGUGUAAAGGGUGCGUAGGCGGCCCUGCAAGUCAGGUGUGAAAACUAUGGGAUUAACACAUAGAUUGCACUUGAAACUGUGGGGCUUGAGUGAAGUAGAGGAAGGCGGAGUUCGCGGUGGAGGGGUGAAAUGCGUAGAGAUGGGGAAGAAGACCAGUGGCGAAGGCGGAAUGCUGGGGUUUAACUGACGCUGAGGCUCGAAGGCGUGGGUAGCAAACAGGAUUGGAUGCCGGUGUAGUC
rnacentral:rRNA from 1 species